AUUGAACGCUGGCGGCAGGCCUAACACAUGCAAGUCGAGCGAGCGGCGGACGGGUGAGUAAUGUCUGGGAAACUGCCUGAUGGAGGGGGAUAACUACUGGAAACGGUAGCUAAUAACGCAUACCAUCAGAAGUGCCCCGAUGGGAUUAGCGGGUCGGUGGGGGAACGGCUCACCUAGGGGACGAUCCCUAGCUGGUCUGAGAGGAUGACCAGCCACACUGGAACUGAGACACGGUCCAUACUCCUACGGGAGGCAGCAGUGGGGAAUAUUGCACAAGGGGCGCAAGCCUGAUGCAGCCAUGCCGCGUGUGUGAAGAAGGCCUUCGGGUUGUAAAGCACUUUCAGCGGGGAGGCGUUACCCGCAGAAGAAGCACCGGCUAACUCCGUGCCAGCAGCCGCGGUAAUAC
rnacentral:rRNA from 1 species